UACGUAGGUGGCGAGCGUUGUCCGGAUUUAUUGGGCGUAAAGGGCGCGCAGGUGGUGUGGUGGGUCCGUCGUGAAAUCUCCUGGCUCAACUGGGAGGGUGCGGCGGAGACUGCCAGACUGGAGGCACUCAGAGGCCGGUGGAAUUCCCGGUGUAGUGGUGAAAUGCGUAGAGAUCGGGAGGAACACCGGUGGCGAAGGCGACCAUCUGGACGGAUACUGACGCUGAGACGCGAAAGCGUGGGUAGCAAACAGG
rnacentral:rRNA from 1 species